rnacentral:rRNA from 1 species
UACGGAGGGGCUAGCGUUGUUCGGAAUUACUGGGCGUAAAGCGCACGUAGGCGGCUUUGUAAGUUAGAGGUGAAAGCCCGGGGCUCAACUCCGGAAUUGCCUUUAAGACUGCAUCGCUAGAAUUGUGGAGAGGUAAGUGGAAUUCCGAGUGUAGAGGUGAAAUUCGUAGAUAUUCGGAAGAACACCAGUGGCGAAGGCGACUUACUGGACGAUUGUUGACGCUGAGGUGCGAAAGCGUGGGGAGCAAACA